rnacentral:rRNA from 1 species
AACGCGAAGAACCUUACCAGGUCUUGACAUCCCGAUGACCGCUUCAGAGAUGGAGCUUCUCUUCGGAGCAUUGGAGACAGGUGGUGCAUGGUUGUCGUCAGCUCGUGUCGUGAGAUGUUGGGUUAAGUCCCGCAACGAGCGCAACCCUUGAUCUUAGUUGCCAGCACUUCGGGUGGGCCCUCUAAGAUGACUGCCGGUGACAAACCGGAGGAAGGUGGGGAUGACGUCAAAUCAUCAUGCCCCUUAUGACCUGGGCUACACACGUACUACAAUGGUCGGUACAACGGGCAGCGAAGGAGCGAUCUGGAGCGAAUCCUUAAAAGCCGAUCUCAGUUCGGAUUGCAGGCUGCAACUCGCCUGCAUGAAGUCGGAAUUGCUAGUAAUCGCGGAUCAGCAUGCCGCGGUGAAUACGUUCCCGGGUCUUGUACACACCG